AUGGCCCUGCCGGCUCCCAGAAAAGAGUCCUGCUUGGCGGUAGAACUGGACCGGAUGGGAGGGGGUCUGGGAAGCCCCCAUCCNGCCGAUUGCAGAGCAGGAUCCGCGUCUGGUCUUGGACGCGGCGGGCAGCCGUAUGGGCGACUCGGCGAGGCUGCAGCUCCCCCAUCAGAAGCGCCCCAAACGUUUCCGUCCACAAAUACGCAGAGAGAAAAAAUUAGAGAGAAGAGAACUUCUUCGCUGUUUUUUCUUUUCCACUGUAUUAUUGAGUAUUUACUUUUAGGCAACAACAGUUUCCCCNCUUUCUGCUCUGCGAUCCAUCGGAUGGGAACGAACGCGUGCAUNGAGGGACCCGGGACCGCAUCUCCCCGGCUUCUCCGUGGGGUGCCGNCCUCCAAAGCCAACCGCUCCGUCUCGUUCUUGGCGACCGGGGGUCCUUGCCCUGGGCUCCGACGGACUCGGCUUUGGCGAAACAGCGCGGCUUCGGAGGAAGGCGCUCCCUCUCUCGCCNNCCCGUCAGCCAGGCUACCUUGCCCGGUUAGACGCCGGCAGCCCCGAGGCUCCUGCAGAAGAUGCCCGCCCGGACGGACGGGCUCCGGCAACUGCUCCUCCCGGGCUGCCUGCUCUGAGCCGGCGCUUUGCUUCCAGGGCGGCAGGGCCAGUUGGGCGUCUUCGCCCGCGAGCCGCGAGUCCGCGAGUCCGGCGCGCCNUCAGGGCCCUUCCACCGGGCUCGCGCCGUCCUUUGCUGCCGCCUGGAGCGCGGCGAAGGGUCCCUACCAGACGGAACGGAGGCCCUUUCUCUCCAGGCCCACUGAUAAAUGCUGCCCCAAAGGAAGCCUCCGGAGGGCUUACCGAAGGGCAAGAGCGGCUGCCGGGCUGUUCCGAAGGNGCUUCGCUGGGGUGCGCCCCGGAAGGGCCCUGGGCAGCCCGCUCCGAGCGUAUCUAUCCUCGCGGAGGAGCCAAGAGAGGAGGGGAGUUCGCGGCUUCGCUGUUGCAGGCCCUGGGGGCCAUUUCGCCCCUCCUCUCCACCCCUCCCGCUGUGAGCAACGAAGACAGCUCAGCCGCCCUGCCAGUCGCGCCCACAUGCAGAAGCCCUUCCGAUCCUGCCUUCCCGUGGGGACCCGGGCUUCUGGGGACCCGGGAGCGCCCCCGCCGGGCUGA
rnacentral:lncRNA from 1 species